GGUGGCGAUACGAUUAAGGGAAACACCCGUAACCAUCUCGAACACGAAGGUUAAGCUUUAGUCGGCCGAUGGUACUAUAUUGGAGACGAUAUGGGAGAGUAGGUGGCUGCCG
rnacentral:rRNA from 1 species